UGAAAGCAAGAACCAGAAUUUUAAAUUGAGCUCUAUAUUUUAUAGGAAGCCAGUGUAGGGAUUGACAGAAGGGUGAGGCAUGGGAGGUGCGGGCGGACAGGAAGAUGAGCCUUGCCGCCGCAUUCAUUAUGGACUGUAACGGCGCUAGUUGGGAGCACGUAAGACCACUAAGAAGCGGAUUACAGUAGUCAAGGCAAGAAAGGACAGUGGAAUGGAC